rnacentral:rRNA from 1 species
UACGUAGGGUGCGAGCGUUGUCCGGAAUUAUUGGGCGUAAAGAGCUCGUAGGCGGCUUGUCGCGUCGGAUGUGAAAGCCCAGGGCUUAACCCCGGGUCUGCAUUCGAUACGGGCAGGCUAGAGUGUGGUAGGGGAGAUCGGAAUUCCUGGUGUAGCGGUGAAAUGCGCAGAUAUCAGGAGGAACACCGGUGGCGAAGGCGGAUCUCUGGGCCAUUACUGACGCUGAGGAGCGAAAGCGUGGGGAGCGAACAGG